GUUACGCGCGCGCUCAUGUCCCAACGGCCUCACAAACCGAAAUGUCCGUCCCGAUUACGUCCGAGUCGCUGGGGAGCUGUGUGAUGUUCGUUGGAGAGAGAGCGUACCGCGUGUCACUGUCCUAUUACGUGGACUCGCAAUCGAAGCCACCACCCAUCGGUGAUGAUCGUGAGUGAGGUGUGCGAUCGAUCGAUUCGCGUUGCACCGUUGCAGCAGACAAAGGGCUGCGAUGCGAGUUGAUGCAUCGCAUGAAGGGCACGUGAGCAUCGUACGCGAAGGGCACCUGACGGCUACGACGAUACGAUCUGGCCCCGUGUCUCGAUCGAGCGGUGAUCGGAUUUGGAAAGCCGGGGCGCUAUCACGCCAGAACGAGGUGGGAUAUGGUCAGACAAUCUGGUAGGCUAGUUUGUAAUUUAAAUUGGCAACACUGCCAACCCGAGUGGCCGGUCUGAGUGGUUGAGCAAUUUGUGCACAGUGCCGGUCAUAAUUGUCGGCACAGAUGGAGGGGAUUGAACAAUUCCAUUAGAUUUCUCUAUGUUUGGGUGUGUUCAGUCGCGAUGCCAAAGAUUCGUGUACCUUUUUUGACAUUACCUUACCGCAAUAUACGAUCUCGACCAAGGAAUCAUAUCGUGGAAUCGUAUCGGAUACUUCCGAAACAACAACGUUCAUGGUCUGGGGCUGCUAUUUACUUACCUCGCGUUAGCAGCUAGACGAGAAUUGAAGGCACACUUUGGAAAGUUUCAAGACGCCCAACACCAGAUACUGAACUCAAUUAUCAUCAACAGUGUGAAUCCCACCCCGGAUGAAAUCAGCACCAGGAUGACAAUUGCGCGCACCGGUAUGAAUUGGAAAAAUCCACCCCUAUUCGGAUGCCACACGUCGGAACGGCAGCCGGAACGGUCGGUACCAUAGUGAACCAUACAUCACGGCCACACGUGAGCACGUCUUGCAUAAUUGCCCUGCGUCGCUGUCAUUGCCACGAAGUUAGCGAAUGCGGAAUGAGGCAUGCACCGCGUAUAUGCACAUCACGGCCUUAAAAAUAGCAGCCGUUAGCUGGAUGGUAGAAGACCCUCCGAUGAACUUUUCGCAGACUACGUUCUACACACGAGCACGUGUCCACCAUUCAAUAGCACCUGUGGAUCGAUGUAACAACGUAGUCCCGAUGGAGUGCACGAGGCUAAUCGAAGCCUUGCCUCAAGAGCAAACGGCUUCGAUUACACCAUCCACGGGGAGACGAGAUCGAUGCGAUGAAAUAUCAGCCGCAGUCGAUUCUUGAGCAUCAACAGCGAACCACGGCCACCGCACAAUCAGCACCACACGAUUGACGUCAUUUAAAUCAAGAACUUUCUGACAAUAAUGCACACCAGGGCAGGACAUUGACCGGGUCCGCAAAUCGCUCUAAUCGAAAAAGCGAAUCCAAAGCAUCGCCUGCUAAUGGAAAAGCCAGCUGAAAUGCCAAUGGGCAAAUAGGUCAUACUGGGCUUGUUCGUUUUUGUUUUUUUUUUUUCAAUAAAAUCUUCCGAAUAAUCUGCAA